rnacentral:rRNA from 1 species
CUGCGGCAGCGACACUGUGUGUUGUUGGGUAGGGGAGCGUUCUGUAAGCCUGUGAAGGUGUGUCGUGAGGCAUGCUGGAGGUAUCAGAAGUGCGAAUGCUGACAUAAGUAACGAUAAAGCGGGUGAAAAGCCCGCUCGCCGGAAGACCAAGGGUUCCUGUCCAACGUUAAUCGGGGCAGGGUGAGUCGACCCCUAAGGCGAGGCCGAAAGGCGUAGUCGAUGGGAAACGGGUUAAUAUUCCCGUACUUGGUGUUACUGCGAAGGGGGGACGGAGAAGGCUAUGUUGGCCGGGCGACGGUUGUCCCGGUUUAAGCGUGUAGGUGUGUGUUCCAGGUAAAUCCGGUUCACUUUAACACUGAGGCGUGACGACGAGGCACUACGGUGCUGAAGCAACAAAUGCCCUGCUUCCAGGAAAAGCCUCUAAGCAUCAGGUAACAUCAAAUCGUACCCCAAACCGACACAGGUGGUCAGGUAGAGAAUACCAAGGCGCUUGAGAGAACUCGGGUGAAGGAACUAGGCAAAAUGGUGCCGUAACUUCGGGAGAAGGCACGCUGACACGUAGGUGAAGUGAUUUACUCAUGGAGCUGAAGUCAGUCGAAGAUACCAGCUGGCUGCAACUGUUUAUUAAAAACACAGCACUGUGCAAACACGAAAGUGGACGUAUACGGUGUGACGCCUGCCCGGUGCCGGAAGGUUAAUUGAUGGGGUCAGCGCAAGCGAAGCUCCUGAUCGAAGCCCCGGUAAACGGCGGCCGUAACUAUAACGGUCCUAAGGUAGCGAAAUUCCUUGUCGGGUAAGUUCCGACCUGCACGAAUGGCGUAAUGAUGGCCAGGCUGUCUCCACCCGAGACUCAGUGAAAUUGAACUCGCUGUGAAGAUGCAGUGUACCCGCGGCAAGACGGAAAGACCCCGUGAACCUUUACUAUAGCUUGACACUGAACAUUGAGCCUUGAUGUGUAGGAUAGGUGGGAGGCUUUGAAGUGUGGACGCCAGUCUGCAUGGAGCCGACCUUGAAAUACCACCCUUUAA